GUUUGAUAGCUGUGUAUUAUGUUGUACCUUUGUUGCAAAGAAUUAAAUCUACUUUUGCAAUCUUGGUAACAGCU
rnacentral:tRNA from 1 species